rnacentral:rRNA from 1 species
CAAUAGCGUAUAUUUAAGUUGUUGCAGUUAAAAAGCUCGUAGUUGGAUUUCGGAUGGGACUUGCCGGUCCGUCGUUUCGAUGUGCACUGGCCAGUCCUAUCUUGUUGUCGGGGACUAGCUCCUGGGCUUCACUGUCCGGGACUAGGAGCUGACGAGGUUACUUUGAGUAAAUUAGAGUGUUCAAAGCAAGCCUACGCUCUGAAUACAUUAGCAUGGAAUAACACGAUAGGACUCUGGCUUAUCUUGUUGGUCUGUGAGACCAGAGUGAUGAUUAAGAGGGACAGUCGGGGGCAUUCGUAUUUCAUUGUCAGAGGUGAAAUUCUUGGAUUUAUGAAAGACGAACUUCUGCGAAAGCAUUUGUCAAGGAUGUUUUCAUUAA